rnacentral:rRNA from 1 species
UUAAACUGAAGAGUUUGAUCAUGGCUCAGAUUGAACGCUGGCGGCAGGCCUAACACAUGCAAGUCGAGCGGUAACAGGCCCUUCGGGGUGCUGACGAGCGG